rnacentral:hammerhead_ribozyme from 1 species
AUCCAGGUGACAAGUCCCAAAUAGGACGAAACGGGCAUUAUCCUGGAU